CACACUGUUGCUGAUUAUCUGAACAAAGGGAUUUUAUUGUUCUGUGCAUGAUUGUGUGUUUGAGAAGUCUGACGUGACCUGUCUUAAUGCCAACUCAUCACUUCUCUAAGCAGCUAGAGUCUAAUGGCAUUAUAUAGCCAUUUUGUUGUAAAUUAGUGUUUCCCUAGGCAGUGUGUUGGAGUGAAAUAUGGCUAUUCAGAGGAGUGGUCCAUAAACCAGGUCUGGCUGUUACACUAAGAGAAACUUUUACACACAGAUGUGAGUUCUGACCAUCUGGCUACCCAAACCCCCCCCUCUCUCCCAUCCUGUUGUGAGGUAGUAUAUCAGAGUGAAGAGUGAAAUGGAUGAGGUGUCUUCCUGUGUGAGGAGACAGAGGGUAAGAGUCAGUAAUUAGCACGCAGACAGUUUUAGGUUCUCCGAGUGACGCUCAUUUACUGCCUUUCUAUACAAUUAAAAACCGUUUUGGAGAACAAUAAAAAUGACCCCAGCCAUUAUCACCUUGGCUGCUGUAGGUUCAUUCAAACACAUCCUAUUAGCUAUACAAUUUUAUUCGUAUCUCUAUUUAACUAGGUAAGUCAGUUAAAAACAAAUUCUUAUUUAUAAUGACGGCCUAGGAACAGUGGGUUAACUUCCUUAUUCAGGGGCAGAACUUCAGAUUUGUACUUCGUCAGCUGGGGGAUUCGAUCUUGCAACCUUUUGGCUACUAGUCCAAUGCUCUAACCACUAGGCUACACUGCCGCCCCAUUGUAAUGUUGUACCCCUGAAAUGGGGGGGGGGGAUAUGAUCAGUUAUUCACACCGACACGUAGCAUUGAUGAAAACGUAUGACAUUUUAAUGUAGGCAUACAGGGAAGAUGAUCAUAUUGAAACCGUUCCUAAUUUUGUCAUGGAACCACUUAACUUCUCUCUGCUUAUUCCUCCCUCUGGUUUUCCCCUGCCUCACCAAUGUCACCAAUGUCUAGACACAGCGGGAGUCGCAGGACGGUGUCGCCGCCAGCCUGUGUUGCGAGACUGAACCGUUUGAAUGUGCUGCUCAGAAGGAAAAUCCAGGAGACGCAGGCAAACAUAACAAACAAUCCAUUGUUCAUGAUUCCACUUGUUUGUAAAAAGAGUAAAGUUGCCCAGCAAAAAAACAAGUAAUGUUGCUUAAACAGAAGGAGAACGAACAGUCGCUGACAACCAAAACCAGUGUGGUUUUAGGAGGGGUUCUGAAAGACACUCAUGGGGGUGUCCCCAGAAAGUUGACUAGCAACAACAACAACUGGAACGUAACACACUUACCAGGAGCACCAACUACAUUUGCCCAAGAUUAAAAAAAAAUAGAAACUUAAUGACAGGAUACUAAAAAAAAAUGUCACUAAGUGAAAUCAGAUAAAGGAUUAUUUGUCUAAAACUCAAACUAAGGUGCCAACUAAAGGUGUUAACCCUCCGCAUCUAUCAAGACAACAGGAGCACUGGGCCAGCACAGGUGUAACACAUACUGACUAACGAGACGGCAACCAGCACAGGUGUAACACAUACUGACUAACGAGACGGCAACCAGCACAGGUGUAACACAUACUGACUAACGAGACAGCAACCAGCACAGGUGUAACACAUACUGACUAACGAGACAGCAACCAGCACAGGUGUAACACAUACUGACUAACGAGGUGACACCACUUGGUGCAUCUAUGUGCUAACGAGCUAUAUGUCCAACCUCAAAAAACAUACAUGGAAAAACCUAAGCCUGUAACAUGGAGGUAGGUGCGAUUAGGUCAAUAAUAUAGGCCUUCUGAGCUUUAAUCAACGCUGUGAGUAAUAUUUCGAUGUUGACCAGUAAUAGAUUUUCUUUGUGUACAAAAGAUACACUGAGUGUAGAAAACAUUAGGAACUGCUGCUCUUUCCAUGACAUAGACUGACCAGGUGAAUCCAGAUGAAAGCUAUGAUCCCUUACUGAUGUCACUUGUUAAAUCCACUUCAAUCAGUGUAGAUGAAGGGGAGGAAACAGGUUAAAGAAAGAUGUUUAAGCCCUGAGACAGGUGUUGUGUGCGUGUGCCAUUCAGAGGGUGAACCAGCGGGACAAAAUAUUUACGUGUCUUUGAACGGGGUAUGGUAGUUGGUGCCAGGAGCACCAGUUUGUGUCAAGAACUGCAACGCUGCUGGGUUUUUCUCAUCUGUGUAGAAACUAGGGCCUGUAGGACCUGCCUUGUUGACAGUGCUGUCAAGAAGGUAGAAACGAGGGCCUGUAGGACCUGCCUUGUUGACAGUGCUGUCAAGAAGGUAGAAACUAGGGCCUGUAGGACCUGCCUUGUUGACAGUGCUGUCAAGAAGGUAGAAACGAGGGCCUGUAGGACCUGCCUUGUUGACAGUGCUGUCAAGAAGGUAGAAACGAGGGCCUGUAGGACCUGCCUUGUUGACAGUGCUGUCAAGAAGGUAGAAACGAGGGCCUGUAGGACCUGCCUUGUUGACAGUGCUGUCAAGAAGGUAGAAACGAGGGCCUGUAGGACCUGCCUUGUUGACAGUGCUGUCAAGAAGGUAGAAACGAGGGCCUGUAGGACCUGCCUUGUUGACAGUGCUGUCAAGAAGGUAGAAACGAGGGCCUGUAGGACCUGCCUUGUUGACAGUGCUGUCAAGAAGGUAGAAACUAGGACCUGCCUUGUUGACAGUGCUGUCAAGAAGGUAGAAACUAGGGCCUGUCGGACCUGCCUUGUUGACAGUGCUGUCAAGAAGGUAGAAACUAGGGCCUGUUGGACCUGCCUUGUUGACAGUGCUGUCAAGAAGGUAGAAACUAGGGCCUGUCGGACCUGCCUUGUUGACAGUGCUGUCAAGAAGGUAGAAACUAGGACUUGCCUUGUUGACAGUGCUGUCAAGAAGGUAGAAACGAGGGCCUGUAGGACCUGCCUUGUUGACAGUGCUGUCAAGAAGGUAGAAACUAGGGCCUGUCGGACCUGCCUUGUUGACAGUGCUGUCAAGAAGGUAGAAACUAGGACUUGCCUUGUUGACAGUGCUGUCAAGAAGGUAGAAACUAGGGCCUGUAGGACCUGCCUUGUUGACAGUGCUGUCAAGAAGGUAGAAACGAGGGCCUGUAGGACCUGCCUUGUUGACAGUGCUGUCAAGAAGGUAGAAACUAGGGCCUGUAGGACCUGCCUUGUUGACAGUGCUGUCAAGAAGGUAGAAACUAGGGCCUGUAGGACCUGCCUUGUUGACAGUGCUGUCAAGAAGGUAGAAACUAGGGCCUGUAGGACCUGCCUUGUUGACAGUGCUGUCAAGAAGGUAGAAACUAGGGCCUGUAGGACCUGCCUUGUUGACAGUGCUGUCAAGAAGGUAGAAACUAGGGCCUGUAGGACCUGCCUUGUUGACAGUGCUGUCAAGAAGGUAGAAACUAGGGCCUGUAGGACCUGCCUUGUUGACAGUGCUGUCAAGAAGGUAGAAACUAGGGCCUGUAGGACCUGCCUUGUUGACAGUGCUGUCAAGAAGGUAGACACUAGGGCCUGUAGGACCUGCCUUGUUGACAGUGCUGUCAAGAAGGUAGAAACUAGGGCCUGUAGGACCUGCCUUGUUGACAGUGCUGUCAAGAAGGUAGAAACUAGGGCCUGUAGGACCUGCCUUGUUGACAGUGCUGUCAAGAAGGUAGAAACUAGGGCCUGUAGGACCUGCCUUGUUGACAGUGCUGUCAAGAAGGUAGAAACUAGGGCCUGUAGGACCUGCCUUGUUGACAGUGCUGUCAAGAAGGUAGAAACUAGGGCCUGUAGGACCUGCCUUGUUGACAGUGCUGUCAAGAAGGUAGAAACUAGGGCUUGUAGGACCUGCCUUGUUGAUAGUGCUGUCAACAAGGUAGAGCAGUGCCUUAUCAUGGACAGACUUCUCCCCAUCUUAGCUACUGUUGUAUCAAUAUGUUUUGACCAUGACAGUUUACAAUCCAGGGUUACUCCAAGCAGUUUAGUCACCUCAGCUUGCUCAACUUCCACAUGAUUUAUUACAAGAUUUAGUUGAGGGUUAAGGUUUAGUGAGUGUUUUAGAAAUAAUUAGGGCUAACUUAUUCCUUGCCGCCCACUCUGAAACUAACUGCAGCUCUAAGGGUUGCAGUCAUUUCAGUCGCUGUAGUAGCUGACGUGUAUAGUGUUGAGUCAUCCGCAUACAUAGAAACUCUGGCUUUACUCAGUCAAUGGCAUGCCACAAUCAUUUUAUCAUUUUCUCUCAGCCAAUCAUCAAUCAUUUGUGUAAGUGCUGUGCUUGUUGGGUGUCCUUCCCUAUAAGCAUGCUGAAAGUUUGUUGUCAAUUUGUUUACUGUAAAAUAGCAUUGUAUCUUGUCAAACACAAUUUUCCCCAGAAGUUUACUAAGGGUUGGUAACAGUCUGAUUGGUCGGUUAUUUGAGCUAGUAAAGCGGGCUUUAGGUAGUGGAAUUACUUUUAGGCUUAAAUUGAAGAUGUUUGAAUAGGAGUGGCAAUAUCAUCUGCUAUUAUCCUCAGUCAUUUUCCAUCCAGAUUGUCAGACCCCGGUGGCUUGUGAUUGUUGAUAGACAACAAUCAUGUUUUCACCUCUUUCACACGGACUUUACGGAAUUAAAAAGUACAAUUCUUGUAUUUCAUAAUUUGGUCUGAUAUACUUGGAUGUGUAGCGUCAGCAUUUGUUGCCGGCAUGUCAUCGCUAAGUGUUCUUAUCUUGCCAAUGAAAAAGUAAUUCAAGUAGUUUGCAAUAUCAGUGGGCUAUGUGAUGAAUGAGCCAUCUGAUUCAAUGAAUGAAGUAGCCGAGUUGGCUUUUUUCCCCAAAAUGUAAUUUAAGGUGCCCCAAUGCAUUUUACUAUCAUUCUUUAUAUAAUUUAUCUUUGUUUCAUAGUGUAGUUUAUUUUUAUGUAGUUUAGUCACAUGAUUUCUUAAUUUGCAGUACGUUUGCCAAUCAGUUGGGCUGCCAGACCUAAUUGCCACCUUUUGUCUCAUCCCUCUCAACUGUACGAUUUUUCAAUUCCUCAUCAAUCCAAGGGGAUUUACAGUAAUUUUCUUAAUGAAUUCGUGCUUAUUAGUAACUGGAAUAAGUAGUUUCAUAAAUGCUUCAAGUGCAGCGUCUGUUUGUUCCUCAUUACACACCGAAGACCAGCAAAUAUUCUUUACAUCAUCAACAUAUGAAUCACUACAAAACUUAUUGUGAUUUAUGUGUGUAUACAUAUGUCAGCUGUAUGUGUCUAUUGUGUACAGAAUAUUUAUGGCGUGUGUGUAUGAUGUGGUAACCAGUUUGCUAACCAGUUGACCUAGCACUGACCCUCUGACCUCCAGAUGACCCCUGCCCCUAGCCUGGUGUCCAUCCUGAAGAGGAGGAGGAGGAGUGUGUGUGUGGAGAAUGUGUGUGUUGCUCCCUCCUCGGUCCCGCACAAACAUCCUGCUAAGCGCAGGGUCCGCUUCAAAGUACCUGAUGACGGCUUUGACCAGGACCAGGUGGGCGGAGACUCAUGCCUGCUCCUCUUCCUGCUCUGCCUGGUCACCGUGGUGAUCAGCCUGGGAGGCACUGCCCUCUACUGUGCUCUGGGCAACACCCACUCCACCGUCUGCACCGACUUUUCUCGGAACGCGGACUUCUACCUCGCACAGCUGCAUCGUGGAAUGGAUCAGCUCCGACACUGGCUGACCCCUGGGUUUUAGCUGACCCCCAAGGAGGAGAGAAGUUAGGAGAUGAAGGAGAGGAAGGAGAAUCCCUUGUUUUGCAAGGUGGUUAUUCUCCUUUCUCCAACUUGGACAGGAUUUCUCUCCAUGUCCUCCUGUUUUCCUCUCUCUCUCUCUCUCUCUCUCUCUGUCUUCACUGGCUGGCCAGUUAAUGUGUGUGAUGGGAGAGCGAGUGAUGGAAGGUGUAUGUGAUACUAGUAGCCUGCAACCACACUAACAGCAGCCUAAGACAUCUGCAGCGCUGCCUAGUAGAACUAGUAGGACUGACAUAGGACCUGUAAUAUAUUGGACUACCUAUAGAUUUUAACUAUACACUACUGGACAUAGAGCGACUCUGUGUCAGCCCAGAGGAAGGGAUAGACUGGGCUAGACUCAUUACCACUUAGCUCGGAUCCGCUCACUACCAUAUGGAGACGUCUGGAUCCUUCAGGCAUGGACAACACCGCUCACAUGUGCAAACAAGAAGCGUCCGGUCAGCCUUUUUUAAGAAACCACCGUGGCUCUUUGUUUAUGGACUCCAUUUUGUAUCUCAACUGCACUUUGAAUGUGAACAAUUGUGCUCUGGUCAGAAACAUGAAAUAAUGUCUUAAAAAAUAUUAUAUUAAUGAACGUUUUGUUUUAAUGAAACAGAUUAGACUUUUCUUUAUGUUCCUCACUGUUGAAGAUUCUUACGGAGUGUGUCCGGGUGUUUCUUUGGGCUGAAGUUAGAAGUUGCUCCUAACCACAGAUCUGAGAUCAAAUCUUAACCUUAUCCUCAACCAGAAGGGGGAGGAAAUGUCUGACUCUGUAUCAGUAGUAAGGGCCAACUUCUACAACUUCUGUUUCAGGGUGUCUGGGAUUAUUGGGUUGUUUUUGGGGUACAGAUUGUGGCGUUGGCCCUUGAUGGCCCUCAAUGACCAUAUAUGCAACAUGGACAAAAAAUCAAUACGUCUGUAAUCGUGUUCAAGAAUGUUUAGCGCCCUAAGGGUCAGGUCGGUACUAGAAGAGGAAUAUCUGUUUAGCUGAGAAUCGUCUCUGCUCAGGCAUGUGUAUAUUUAUCUUUAUUGUGAAAUAAUUAUGGGCAUGAUCAGUAUUACGCCGAGUGCAUUACCUCCUGCGAUCAAUGGACUUUGAAUUUGGAUCAAUGGAUUUAGAUUCAAUGGAUUUUUACUUAUUAUAAUUUUUGUGCUCAUUGUUAUUUCUUUUAUUUCAGGCUUUUUAUUAGUCUAUUUAAUCUGUUUUACUCUUUGUCAGUCGGCGGUAUGUUUUAGUUUUGUCUGGCGUUCAGUAGACAUGUCACAGUGGCUCCUAUGAUAAUGUAAUGAUGAUGUAGUCGGCUGGGCAGUGACUCUUAGGCUGCAUCAUCUGUGUUUUCCUCUUGUUUCCUCUCAUCUCCUCUUAUAUGAAAACACAAGACAGGUGAAACAAACUGCAAAUAUUAAGAACUGUAUUCAAAUGGACAAUAUAGAUAUGCAAUUUGCUUUCGUCUUUCAAGGUUCUUUCAGAGGGGGGAAGAUGAAGGAGAAGAGACGAGGGGAGGAUGCCAAAGUAGAGUAUUGAGAUGCAGCCUUGGUUUUAAAAUGAUUUGCACGUGUCUGGCUGGUCCAGAUGACUCUGUCUUACUGUUUGGAUCUGAAGUAUUUAUAUCAUAUCUGCACGUGGGGAGAGAAAAAAACGACCUUCUGUUGUUUUUCUCGUUUUGGCUUGAUGUUGUUAUCGUUGGUUGUUAUUUUCCCUUAUUUUGUUCUUGAAGACUAUGUUUUGAAAAAGAGGAGUCUCUUUCCAAGGCUCACCAGUUAAAGAAUGCCAGUUGGAAAAGUCAGAACAGAAGCGGGACAGUCUCCAUUUUCAACUUCUCAUCUCUGUGUAUGAUGACAUGUGAAGACGAUUAACUAAUGUGUGUCAUUGUGGCCAAUGCUGCGUUCAGAACCAAGUGGGAAGGUGGAAAUUACCAGUUGUGAAUUUGUAAUUGUGAGUUUGAUGCUUUCACUUGCUUUGAACUUGUUGAUUUGCUUAAGGCAAACAAGCUGGGUCAAACAAACUAAAAGUAUAGCUAUCAUGCUUUGAACCAUUCCAUUGGCACUAAGAGAAAUCUCUACCCACCUGGGGCACCGGGCGAAAUGAAACUCAUCCAUUGGUCAAGUUUGUUUUGCAUGGCCUUGUGCCCCGGGUGGGUGGCGUUUUGUGAAAUCUCUACCUACCCAGUGCACCGGGCUUUGCAAAACAAAUCACCAUUGAGAGGGAUGACUGUGGUGAGUACCUUUUUAAACACCUGUUUCUCUCUGUUGAUUGGUUAAUAAACCUCACUGUGGGGACUGAUCUGA